GCCCAGCUAGCUCAAUUAAUAGAGCAUGAGACUCAUAAUCUCAGGGCCGUGGGUUCAGGCCCCACAUUGGGCA